GAUGAACGCUGGCGGCGUGCCUAAUACAUGCAAGUCGAGCGGUAAGGCCCUUCGGGGUACACGAGCGGCGGACGGGUGAGUAACGCGUAAGAAUCUACCCCAAACUGAGGGAUAACUGCUCGAAAGAGUAGCUAAUACCGCAUGUGCUCUACGGAGUAAAGCUACGGCGGUUUGGGAAGAGCUUGCGUACGAUUAGCUAGUUGGUAAGGUAAUGGCUUACCAAGGCGACGAUCGUUAGCUGGUCUGAGAGGAUGAUCAGCCACACUGGGACUGAGACACGGCCCAGACUCCUACGGGAGGCAGCAGUAGGGAAUUUUCCACAAUGGGGGCAACCCUGAUGGAGCAACGCCGCGUGCAGGAUGAAGGCCUUCGGGUUGUAAACUGCUUUUGUCUGUGACGAAUAUGACGGUAGCAGACGAAUAAGGAUCGGCUAACUACGUGCCAGCCGCCGCAGUAA
rnacentral:rRNA from 1 species